UGGGACACGACGAACGAAACACGUUCACCCAGCUCCAAGGCGCGCCACUGACCAGUGUUGCUAGAUUCGAGUCUGAUUUAACCCAAAAUAAAUUUCAAAAUUCCUAAAAAUACGUCGCACAAGGAUUCGAUUUGGCUCUUUGACAAAGUUGGUGGCAUGGGAUUCCUAAAUGUUCCUCUGAUGAACACCGCUUUGUUCGACUUCUUCUUUUACGUAACUGCAUGGGGCAAUCGUAAUCAGCGUUCAACAUUGCUACCAGUAGUGGAGUGUUCACUUUUAAUAAUGCUCGGAUCUUUCUAUAGUCAAUAUCAUCGCUCGCUUUCGAAGUACAAGAGCGCUUCCUGUGUGGUCUUUGUUUUUUAUUAAUUUUGUUCUGUUUCUUCGUAAUUGUCCUUUGUUUACUUUUACAUUUUACGUUUACAUCA